GUGUCAGCAGCCGCGGUAAUACGGAGGUGGCAAGCGUUGUUCGGAAUUACUGGGCGUAAAGGGCGCGUAGGCGGCUUAACAAGUCAGAUGUGAAAGCCCCGGGCUCAACCCGGGAACUGCAUCUGAAACUGUAUAGCUUGAGUUCUGGAGGGGGUAGUGGAAUUCCCAGUGUAGCGGUGAAAUGCGUAGAUAUUGGGAGGAACACCUGCGGCGAAGGCGGCUACCUGGACAGUGACUGACGCUGAGGCGCGAAAGCUAGGGGAGCGAACGGGAUUAGAAACCCCUGUAGUCC
rnacentral:rRNA from 1 species